UACGUAGGGGCCAAGCGUUGUCCGGAUUUAUUGGGCGUAAAGAGCUCGUAGGCGGUUCGGCAAGUCGAAUGUGAAAUCUCCACGCUCAACGUGGAGGGGUCAUUCGAUACUGCCGUGACUCGAGUCCGGUAGGGGAGUGUGGAACUCCCGGUGUAGCGGUGAAAUGCGCAGAGAUCGGGAGGAACACCUAUAGCGAAGGCAGCUUGCUGGGACGAUACUGACGCUAAGGCUCGAAAGCGUGGGGAGCGAACAGG
rnacentral:rRNA from 1 species